rnacentral:rRNA from 1 species
UACGAAGGGGGCUAGCGUUGCUCGGAAUCACUGGGCGUAAAGGGUGCGUAGGCGGGUCUUUAAGUCAGAGGUGAAAUCCUGGAGCUCAACUCCAGAACUGCCUUUGAUACUGAGGAUCUUGAGUUCGGGAGAGGUGAGUGGAACUGCGAGUGUAGAGGUGAAAUUCGUAGAUAUUCGCAAGAACACCAGUGGCGAAGGCGGCUCACUGGCCCGAUACUGACGCUGAGGCACGAAAGCGUGGGGAGCAGACAGG